GGUGGCUCAGUGGAUAACGCAUUUGGCUGCUAACGGAAGGGUCGGUGGUUUGAACCCACCAGCCACUA
rnacentral:tRNA from 1 species